UAUACGGUGAAACUGCGAAUGGCUCAUUAAAUCAGUUAUCGUUUAUUUGAUAGUACCUUACUACAUGGAUAACCGUGGUAAUUCUAGAGCUAAUACAUGCUAAAAACCUCGACUUCGGAAGGGGUGUAUUUAUUAGAUAAAAAACCAAUGCCCUUCGGGGCUCCUUGGUGAAUCAUAAUAACUUAACGAAUCGCAUGGCCUUGCGCCGGCGAUGGUUCAUUCAAAUUUCUGCCCUAUCAACUUUCGAUGGUAGGAUAGUGGCCUACCAUGGUAUCAACGGGUAACGGGGAAUUAGGGUUCGACUCCGGAGAGGGAGCCUGAGAAACGGCUACCACAUCCAAGGAAGGCAGCAGGCGCGCAAAUUACCCAAUCCCGACACGGGGAGGUAGUGACAAUAAAUACUGAUACAGGGCUCUUUUGGGUCUUGUAAUUGGAAUGAGUACAAUUUAAAUCCCUUAACGAGGAACAAUUGGAGGGCAAGUCUGGUGCCAGCAGCCGCGGUAAUUCCAGCUCCAAUAGCGUAUAUUAAAGUUGUUGCAGUUAAAAAGCUCGUAGUUGAACCUUGGGCCUGGCUGGCCGGUCCGCCUCACCGCGUGUACUGGUCCGGCCGGGCCUUUCCUUCUGGGGAACCUCAUGCCCUUCACUGGGCGUGUUGGGGAACCAGGACUUUUACUUUGAAAAAAUUAGAGUGUUCAAAGCAGGCCUUUGCUCGAAUACAUUAGCAUGGAAUAAUAGAAUAGGACGUGUGGUUCUAUUUUGUUGGUUUCUAGGACCGCCGUAAUGAUUAAUAGGGAUAGUCGGGGGCAUCAGUAUUCAAUCGUCAGAGGUGAAAUUCUUGGAUUGAUUGAAGACUAACUACUGCGAAAGCAUUUGCCAAGGAUGUUUUCAUUAAUCAGUGAACGAAAGUUAGGGGAUCGAAGACGAUCAGAUACCGUCGUAGUCUUAACCAUAAACUAUGCCGACUAGGGAUCGGACGGUGUUAGUAUUUUGACCCGUUCGGCACCUUACGAGAAAUCAA
rnacentral:rRNA from 1 species